rnacentral:sRNA from 1 species
AAUAUGUUAUAAUGUCCAAUGUAGAAAAGUGAAGACGGUGGCUACUGUUUCUGAAAGUGAGUUGAUGCCUAUGGGCAAUUCAUCAAAAUCUGACAGAAAGGAGGUGGCCUAGGUUGACCGCAUUUGAAGUGGUGUAAACUAUGUUAGCAUUUGCAAG